UUUAGAUUCAGGUAGGUAGCCGUGUUGGUCUGACGCAGUCGAAAUAUAUACUAAGUUUAAGGUAUAAGCUUGGUAUAAUCUGAAGAAGUGUGCAUGCACACGAAAGAUUAUACCAAGAACAAACUUAGUUGGUCUCUAAGGUGCUACUGGACAAUUUUUAUUAUUAUUUUAUAUAUUUCGACAGCGUCAGACCAACACGGCUACCUACCUGAAUCUGAA